rnacentral:miRNA from 1 species
GACGUCGAUAUUCGACGUCAUAAACAGGAUCAACUUUGGUGUUUAUGACGUCCAUAUUCGACGUCAUAAACACGAACAAGUUUGGUGUUUAUGACGUCGAUAUUCGACGUCAUAAAUACGAACAAGUUUGGUGUUUAUGACGUCGAUAUUCGACGUCAUAAACACGAACAAGUUUGGUGUUGAUGACGUCGAUAUUCGACGUCAUAAACACGAACAAGUUUGGUGUUUAUGAUGUCGCUAUUCGACGUC